rnacentral:rRNA from 1 species
AAUCAACGCUGGCGGCGUGCCUAACACAUGCAAGUCGAACGCGAAAGUGGAGCAAUCCAUGAGUAGAGUGGCAAACGGGUGAGUAACACGUGGGUGACCUGCCUUCGAGUGGGGGAUAACGUUUCGAAAGGAACGCUAAUACUGCAUAACAUGCUGUCUUUUAACAGAUGGACAUCAAAGCCGGGGACCGCAAGGCCUGGCGCUUGAAGAGGGGCCCGCGCCUGAUUAGCUAGUUGUGGGGUAAUGGCUCACCAAGGCAACGAUCAGUAUCCGGCCUGAGAGGGCGGACGGACACACUGGGACUGAGACACGGCCCAGACUCCUACGGGAGGCAGCAGUGGGGAAUUGUUCGCAAUGGGCGCAAGCCUGACGACGCAACGCCGCGUGGAGGAUGAAGAUCUUCGGGGUCGUAAAACUCCUUUUCGAUCGAGACGAAUGGCCCUUGGGGCUAAGUACCCUGAGGGAGUGACGGUACCGAGAGAAGAAGCCCCCGGGCUAAACUCCCGGUGCCAG